GGGUGUAUAGAUCAGUUGUAGAUCAUUCGGCUGCCGACCGAGAGUUCUCUGGUUCAAACCCGGGUGUCCCCU